UUUCGCGGGGACUCUCUACUAACCCUAGUUUCUGGUCACCUCCUGUUCUUAUCGUUUGUUAUUUUCUGUUCCUGGCUUUAACAAACUACAGGAGGCUCUGAAGCAGCGCUGGACACGUCUCGGAACCAAAAAAAAAAGCCAGGAUCACCUCCCUGCCCAUUGUGCUCAAUGUCCCGACUGAAACACCGUGAAUAUCAGGCAAUGGUCAGCUCGGCUGCCGCGAAGAGUUCGUCUCUGUUGCCCCGGUGUUUUCAUGGAGGGAAUCUGUUCAUUUGAGCAUAGUAAACCUGAGCAGGGUCACUCUGUUGGACUUCCAGUGGUCCGAUUAGACAGCCUAAGCUCAAACAAAC
rnacentral:telomerase_RNA from 1 species